rfam:Myotis davidii contig226068, whole genome shotgun sequence.
UCCGGGUGAAGCACCCCGGAAUCAGGCUCCCUCUUCUCUGAUACUGGGGUGCAUCACCUGGA